rnacentral:rRNA from 1 species
AAGAUUAAGCCAUGCAUGUCUAAGUAUAACAAUUUAUACCGUGAAACUGCGAAUGGCUCAUUAAAUCAGUUAUAGUUUAUUUGAUGGUCUUUUCUACAGGGAUAACUGUGGUAAUUCUAGAGCUAAUACCUGCAUAAAACCCCGACUUCUGGAAGGGUGUAUUUAUUAGAUUCAAAAUCUUCAGACUUCGGUCUUAUUGAUGAUUCAUAAUAACUUCUCGAAUCGCAU